rnacentral:rRNA from 1 species
AGGACGAACGCUGGCGGCGUGCUUAACACAUGCAAGUCGAGCGGAAAGGCCCUUCGGGGUACUCGAGCGGCGAACGGGUGAGUAACACGUGAGCAACCUGCCCCUGGCUCUGGGAUAGCCUUCGGAAACGGGGAUUAAUACCGGAUAUUCACUGCUUCCUGCAUGGGGGGUGGUGGAAAGUUUUCGGCUGGGGUGGGCUCGCGGCCUAUCAGCUUGUUGGGGGGUGACGGCCCACCAAGGCGACGACGGGUAGCCGGCCUGAGAGGGCGACCGGCCACACUGGGACUGAGACACGGCCCAGACUCCUACGGGAGGCAGCAGUGGGGAAUAUUGCGCAAUGGGCGGAAGCCUGACGCAGCGACGCCGCGUGCGGGAUGAAGGCCUUCGGGUUGUAAACCGCUUUCACCAGGGACGAAGCGAGAGUGACGGUACCUGGGGAAGAAGCGCCGGCUAACUACGCGCCAGCAGCCGC